UAGGGAAUCUUCCGCAAUGGACGCAAGUCUGACGGAGCAACGCCGCGUGAGUGAAGAAGGUUUUCGGAUCGUAAAACUCUGUUGUAAGAGAAGAACAAAUUGUAGAGUAACUGCUACAGUCUUGACGGUAUCUUACCAGAAAGCCACGGCUAACUACGUGCCAGCAGCCGCGGUAAUACGUAGGUGGCAAGCGUUGUCCGGAUUUAUUGGGCGUAAAGGGGGCGCAGGCUGCUGCUUAAGUCUGAUGUGAAAGCCCACGGCUUAACCGUGGAAGUGCAUUGGAAACUGGGAAGCUUGAGUACAGAAGGGGAAAGUGGAACUCCAUGUGUAGCGGUGGAAUGCGUAGAUAUAUGGAAGAACACCAGUGGCGAAAGCGACUUUCUGGUCUGUCACUGACGCUGAGGCCCGAAAGCGUGGGUAGCAAACAGG
rnacentral:rRNA from 1 species